rnacentral:rRNA from 1 species
CCUACGGGGGACAGCAGUGAGGAAUAUUGGUCAAUGGACGAGAGUCUGAACCAGCCAAGUAGCGUGAAGGAUGACUGCCCUAUGGGUUGUAAACUUCUUUUAUAUGGGAAUAAAAUGUUCCACGUGUGGGAUUUUGUAUGUACCAUAUGAAUAAGGAUCGGCGAACUCCGUGCCAGCAGCCGCGGUAAUACGGAGGAUCCGAGCGUUAUCCGGAUUUAUUGGGUUUAAAGGGAGCGUAGGUGGGUUGUUAAGUCAGUUGUGAAAGUUUGCGGCUCAACCGUAAAAUUGCAGUUGAAACUGGCAGUCUUGAGUACAGUAGAGGUGGGCGGAAUUCGUGGUGUAGCGGUGAAAUGCUUAGAUAUCACGAAGAACUCCGAUUGCGAAGGCAGUUCACUGGACUGCAACUGACACUGAGGCUCGAAAGUGUGGGUAUCAAACAGGAUUAGAUACCCGGGUAGUC